rnacentral:rRNA from 1 species
GACGAACCGUGCGAACGUUGUUCGGAAUCACUGGGCUUAAAGGGCGCGUAGGCGGCUCGCGAGGUCGGGGGUGAAAUCCCACGGCUCAACCGUGGAAGGGCCUCCGAUACCGGCGGGCUGGAGGGAGGUAGGGGUGCGCGGAACUUCUGGUGGAGCGGUGAAAUGCGUUGAUAUCAGAAGGAACGCCGGCGGCGAAAGCGGCGCACUGGACCUCUUCUGACGCUGAGGCGCGAAAGCCAGGGGAGCAAACGGG